UGCACUUUCGGAUCGCCAUCAUGAAAAGAUCAUGUCAGAUCUGCUUGGUGUCACUAGGACGUUAUCGAACACAGCGCGAGUAUGGCCCAACGAGCAAAACAGACAAGCUUUGGUGUCUGCUCGUCCCAUACAUUUAGCGGUAAGCAGUUACGGUCCUCUGAGGAUGUGUCUCUGGGGAGUGGCGACCUGAUCGCCUACGCAGUUUUCAGAUUUCACAUCAUGAACGGGAAAAUCCUUUCCAGUAUUUUCUCAAUAGACCUAGAUGUUGUUAACCGUUUGCUAUAGAACAUUGUACUCCUCUGCAUGAAUAAGGGUAACAUAAUGGGGUUUGUCCUCUAGUCUUCCUACGUGAUACCCCGCUCACGAUCCAUACCCAAGUACACGGGCGGGACAGUAUAAAAGACAACGAUUUCGAGAAGUCAAAGCAGAAUUCCCCUCCACUUCUCUUCCUGCGCAUCAGUUCUUGACUCUAAGAAACCUAUCUUGUAAAUAAUAUUUGAAUACUCUUGCCUUUAGUCAAUCAGUUAAGCAACGUUUCCACUGCUGUAAUCAUGAAGAUAUGGGCGGUAGCUAGUCUAGUUGUGGUGUUGGUUGUUGUGUUUGGACACAGUGCUCUUGCUGUAUGUUCCGGUAGUGACUGUGUUAAUCAUGAGCUAGGCUCCCAAUCCCGGUGUACUGAGGUUACACGUAGAAGAACUAGCGAUUGUAGAUGGGUAGCUGGACUGGACACCAACGCAGACUACAUCAUCGAGGGUGGCGAUAUCGUGGCUUACCAGAUCCAGUGGUUCAGCGGUGCUUGGUCCGGCUGGUUUGUCACAGGCGUCAACGACAUCGACUGGAAGUACAACACAGUACAACGUUCGUGCGCUGUGCCGUACCUGGCCAACCACAUGCGUCGCGUCUGGAGCUACUUCUUCUCUCACACGCACAAGUACAUCAUCUGCAAGCAUCGCAGUGAUUACAGUGGACCCAAGGCACCGUGCGACAGCUGCCCAAGGUUCGUGUAUCCGGCACUGAGGCGGCCCGCGGCACCUUCUCGCGACGGUGAGCCAUAAUCAAACACCCUAGUCUAGCGAAUGCGUCUGUGUAACAACAGAAGUGUUAUAGAAUCUGGAUCAUCACAUCUCUAUCAGAAAGCUAUACUUCAUUUCAUGGUAUCCAUCUAAUCUCAUGUAUUCUUUACACCGCUGUUUGUUCAAUAUGAUCCCUAUCUGCUGGGAUCAGUUCGUUGGCUAUCUUGCACCUGAGUGUAUCUCAGUGUCCUUUAUCACCUUGCAUCAGUGCCUGAUGUUAGAUCAUACCGCGAAACACGGCUAGAAUUGUCCUCCACAUCGCUCCCUUAUAGACAUUAUCACCUGUAGAGCACAGCAACCUUCACUGUAACUUCCUUGCGCUUAUUCUGACUUUUGUCUUUUCUCCAUCUCGGGAAAGUGCAUGGCAUUCUCAUAAUUAUGAUAAUUAUUAUUCUGCUUUGCGCACCAGUUGUAAUCCCGCAUGUGCAUGACUGAACAAUCAUGUACAUCCAGUCAUGCACUUUUUUGCUUUAAACGAUAUCUCACACUGAUAUGACAAGGUCAUGUUGCAGGUGUUAUAGCAAAGACUCA